GCUGACGUAGCUCAACGGUAGAGCGUCACCAUUGCCCCGUUUCAACCAAUGUGAAGAUAGCAGUUCAAAUCUGUUCGUUAGCU
rnacentral:tRNA from 1 species